rnacentral:rRNA from 1 species
AGCAGCCGCGGUAAUUCCAGCUCCAAUAGCGUAUAUUAAAGUUGUUGCAGUUAAAAGGCUCGUANUUGAAUUUCGGGGUCAGCAGGUUGGUCGUGCCUAUGGUAUGAACUGGCUUCGCUGGUCUCUCCUUUCUGAAGAACUGUAAUGCCAUUAAUUUGGUGUUGCAGGGACACAGGACUGUUACUUUGAAAAAAUUAGAGUGUUUAAAGCAGGCUAACGCUUGAAUACAUUAGCAUGGAAUAAUGAAAUAGGACGUUCGAACCUAUUUUGUUGGUUUCUAGGAUUGACGUAAUGAUUAAUAGGGAUAGUUGGGGGCAUUAGUAUUCAAUUGUCAGAGGUGAAAUUCUUGGAUUUAUUGAAGACUGACUACUGCGAAAGCAUUUGCCAAGGAUGUUUUCAUUAAUCAAGAACGAAAGUUAGGGGAUCGAAGACGAUCAGAUACCGUCGUAGUCUUAACCAUAAACUAUGCCGACUAGGGAUCGGAUGAUGUUAAUUUUUUAAUGACUCA